UACACACAUACACCCCUAAGACUUGAGAGAGCAGCCACAACGCAGGGACUACAAAAAACCUUGAACAGACACCAUCAAGAAAGGAAUUGCCUGCCCUCUUCUCUCUAUCCUCAUGCGUUUCUAUCACCACCAAAUACUACAAAAAAGAAAAGAAAAGAACAUGUUACUUCAAUCACACAAGAUUAAUAUACAACAAUCAAUAUCUCACCUUUAGAAAUUUUCCUUUACCAUUAUCACCGUCCCAAUCACUAUGUGAAUAUCAUCACUAAACCAUCAUUCUCCAAUGUCCUUCAUUAACAAUUCCAUCUUCAUUUUUAUUAUUAAUUCCACUCUUUUAUCAUGGAUCUUCUUUAGGAUAGAGUUGUUUGAGCUUUCCAAGUUGGACUUGAGGUUUUUCCGGUCCAGUUGGGCAAUUUCUUGUUCGAGGUUCUAGUUUAAAAGAUGAUCGUAGAGUUUGAUUUCUAGUUCAAUUUCUGACGGAUUUGCCGAUGUUGAAUUCGUUUGUAGGAGGUUCUUCAUAUAAUUACAAAUCUGAAAUUGCUUCACUCAAGGUCUAUUUCUACUCCAGAUCUUUAAUUCGUGCAUAUUUUUAUUCUUGUUUAAUGUGCUUGACCUCUAUAUUGCUUGUUCACCGUUUUUAUGUUUAUGUGGUGAAUUAUUCUUAGUUUUAGAUUUCUUGUGAUGCUAUACUGAUUUUCAGUUUUGUCUUGUUAGCUUCACAAUUACAAUCUAGUAGUAGCAAUUAUGGUUUUUAGAUUGCAUUUGUUUGUUGAGCUACAUGCUAGAUUAGUUGAAUGAAUUUAAUUUAUUUAACCAAAUUUGGUUUAAAAUUAGGGAAUGCAAAAUCAAAUGGGUUGUGUAGCUUAAUUUGGAGUUGAACCAGUUGAAUUGCUUUUUUGAUAAAAGUGGCUAUGGACGUAAGGGAAUGCAAAAUCAAAUGGGCUGUGUGGCUUAAUUUGGAGUUGAACCAGUUGAAUUGUUUUUUUGAUAAAAAUGGCUAUGGACGUAAAGUUCCUGUACAACUAUUCCUACAAUUUAGGCUACUACUUCUCUUGGAUCUUCAAAGUGACUUUGAACUUUGUUUUUCAUCAAUUGAUUCAAGAAACCCUGAUUUAUCUUCAUUCUUCGAAUUCAAACUGAUUUUGCCAGUAUCAAGAAUAUUGCACUGUUUUAAUGUGGGGACGAACAGUAAGAAUAAAAAUCGAAUCUAUCACGUUAAUUGUUCAAAUCGCUAGUGUGCUUUAGGCAUGUUAAUUAAAUUAAUCAUCGUAACUAUGGGUAUGGUUCUAGUGGCAUAGUCAUGAUACAUUUAAUCCCAAUUCGGGUAUGCAUUUCAUGUGACCCGACCAUAAUUUCGAAUAAUAAUAAGAUAAACAUAUUAUAAAUCCGAGUGUGCAUUUCAUGUGACCGACUUCAAUUUCCAAUAAUGUUAAAUAAAAUAAAACGUUUCGUGAACCAUGGGCGCAUUUCAUGUAGCGUGGUUUACGAUGUGUUUUAAAUAAACCUUGAAUUUUCCCAAAAUAUUAAAAACAGCUAAAAAUUUGAAAAUGCACAUAGGUUUCAAAAAAGUUUUAUUAAUCAGAUAAUUAGGCCAAUGAUAAUAGUUGAGCCACCGUGCUAAAACCACGGAACCCGGGAAUGCCUAACACUUUCUCCCGGGUUAACAGAAUUCCUUACCCGAAUUUCUGUGUUCGUGGACUGUAAAACAGAGUCAAUCUUUCCUCGAUUCGAGAUUUUAAACCGGUGACUUGGGACACCAUAAAUUAUCCCAAGUGGAGACUCUGAUUUAAUAAAUAAUCCUGUUUCGAUUGUAACUUAAAUUGGAAAAACUCUCUUAUACCCCUCUCGGGGUGGUAAAAAGGAGGUGUGAUAGUCGCCCCAUUAUGAUAUUCUUGAUUGUCAUGCCAAAACGGUGACGCUAGCUAUGCUAGGUGUACCGCGAGUAGAGUGAAGGGGUACUUUAGAUCACACUCCCAGUAGAGUUAUUUCUUUCCUUAAAGCUCAGCAAAUGGUUGAGAAGGGGUGUGACGCGCAUCUGGCCUAUGUGAGAGAUGUUAGUGUUGAUACCUCUACAGUUGAUUCAGUCCCAAUAGUACAGGAUUUCUCUGAUGUGUUUCCAACUGAUAAUCUGGGAAUGCCGCCCGAUAGAGAUAUUGAUUUUGGCUUUGAUCUGUUGCCAGGCACUUAGCCCAUUUCUAUUCCUUUGUACUGUAUGGCACCUCCUAAGUUGAAGGAGUUGACGGAUCAGUUAUAGGAAUUUCUUGAUAAGGGUUUUAUUCGGCCCAGUGUAUCACCUUGGGGUGAUCCUAUCUUGUUUGUGAAGAAAAAGGAUGGUUUUAUGCGUAUGUCCAUUGAUUAUCGCCAAUUGAACAAAGUUACAGUGAAGAACUGGUAUCCUUUGCCUUGUAUUGAUGGUUUGUUUGACCAACUACAGGGUGCACGAGUGUUUUAUAAGAUUGACUUGCGUUCAGGUUACCAUCAAUUGAAGAUUCGGGAGCCAGAUAUCCUAAAGACUGCUUUCAGAUAUGUCAUUUGGGUUCCUUGAUAUGUCAUUUAGGCUGACCAAUGCCCCAGCAGCCUUCAUGUAUUUGAUGCACAGUGUGUUCCAACCAUAUCUUGACUCUUUCAUCAUUGUCUUUGUUGAUGAUAUUCUAGUAUACUCCCAGAGUCGGGAAGAUCAUGAGCAGCACCUGAGGACAAUGCUUCAGACUUUGAGAGAAAAUAAGUUGUAUGCAAAGUUCUCAAAAUGUGAGUUUUGGUUGGAUUCCGUGGAAUUCUUGGGUCACGUGGUGUCGAGUAAGGGGAUAUAGGUGGAUCCGAAGAAAGUGGAAGCAGUGCAGAGUUGGCCUAGACCAUCCUCAACUAUAGAGAUCCAUAGUUUUCUUGGUUUGGCGGGUUAUUACCAUCGAUUUGUUGAGGGGUUUUCAUCUAUUACAGCAACUAUGACCAGGCUAACCCAGAAGGGUGCUCCAUUCCAGUGGACGGAAGAGUGUGAGGCGAGCUUCCAGAAGCUCAAGAUAGCUUUUACUACAGCCCCAGUAUUGAUAUUGCCUACAGGUUCAGGGUCUUAUACUGUCUAUUGUGAUGCCUUAAGGAUUGGCCUUGGAGCGGUAUUGAUGCAGGACGGUAGGGUGAUUGCGUACGCAUCCAUACAGUUGAAGGUACAUGAGAAGAAUUAUCCUGUCCAUGAUCUCGAGUUAGCUGCUAUUGUUCACGCCUUGAAGACCUGGCAUCAUUAUUUGUACGGUGUUCCUUGUGAGAUCUAUACUGAUCAUCGGAGUUUAUAGCAUUUGUUCAAGCAGAAAGAUCUUAAUUUGCGCCAGAGGAAAUGGUUAGAGCUGCUGAAAGACUAUGAUAUCACUAUCUUGUAUCACCCGGGCAAUGCCAAUGUGGUGGCCGAUGCUUUGAGUCGCCGGGCAGAGAGUUUGGGGAGUUUAGCUUAACUACUAGCAGUGGAGAGGCCCAUGGCGAUGGAUGUUCAGGCCUUAGCCAGCCAGAUUGUGAGAUUGGAUCUUUCGGAGCCUAGUCGGGUUCUAGCUUAUGUGAUCUCUCAGUCUUCCUUAUUUGAUUGUAUCAGGGAGCGUCAGUAUGAUGGCCCUUAUUUACUUGUCCUUAAGGACAAGGUCCUACAUGGCAAUGCCAGAGAUGUGACUAUUGGUGAUGACGGGGAUAUUGAGGAUGCAGGGUCGGAUAUGUGUACCCAAUGUUGAUGGGCUUCGGGAGUUGGUUCUAGAGGAAGCCCAUAGUUUGCGGUAUUCCAUCUAUCCGGGUGCCGCAAAAAUGUACCAAGAUUUGAGACGGCACUAUUGGUGGAGACGGAUAAAGAAAGAUAUAGUUGGGUUUGUAGCUCGAUGCCUCAAUUGUCAACAGAUGAAGUAUGAGCACCACAAACUAGGUGGGUUGCCUCAGCAAAUAGAGAUUCCGGAGUGGAAGUGGGAGCGGAUCACCAUGGACUUCGUAGUUGGACUCCCACGGAAUUUAAAGAAGUUCGAUGCCAUUUAGGUGAUUAUGGAUCGGCUGACCAAGUUCGCGCACUUCAUUUUUGUGUGUAUUACCUAUUCUUUGGAGCGGUUGGCGGAGAUUUACAUCUGGGAGAUUGUUCGUCUACAUUGUAUUCCAAUUUCCAUCAUUUCAUAUAGAGGUACUCAGUUCACAUCACGGUUCUGGAGGGUCGUACAGCAUGAGUUGGGAACUCGGGUGGAGUUGUGCACAUCAUUUCAACCCUAGAUGGACGGACAGUCCAAGCACACUAUUCAGAUUCUUGAGGAUAUGCUCAGUGCGUAUGUGAUGGAGUUUGGAGGUUCUUGGGAUCAGUUCUUGCCACUGGCGGAGUUUGCCUACAACAACAGUUAUCAAUCUAGCAUUCAAAUGGCACCAUAUGAGGCCUUGUAUGGUAGGCGGUGUAGAUCCCCGGUGGGUUGGUUCGAGCCGGGUGAGGCUAGAUUAUUUGGCACAGACUUGGUUCAGGACGCCUUGGAUAAGUUUAAGGUAAUUCAGGAUAGACUUCCCAUAGCCUAGUCCAGACAAAAGAGUUACGCGGACCGGAAGGUUCAUAAUGUUUCCUAUAUGGUUGGAGAGCGGGUCUUGCUUCAGGUUUCGCCUAUGAAGGGCAUCAUGCGAUUUGGGAAGAAAGGGAAAUUGAUUCUGAGGUUUAUCUGUCCUUUUAAGAUAUUGAAACGUGUUGGGGAGGUUGCUUAUGAGCUUGCCUUACCUCCCAGCUUAGCAGGAGUUCAUCCGAUAUUUUAUGUUUCGAUGCUCCGGAAGUAUCACGGUGACCCAUCACAUGUGUUGGAUUUCAGUUCAGUCCAGUUGGACAAGGAUCUAUCAUAUGUUGAAGAGCCAAUGGCGAUAUUGGGCAGACAGGUUCGAAAGCUGAGGUCAAAUAACAUUGCAUCCGUGAAGGUUCAGUGGUAGGGUCAGCCAGUUGAGGAGGCGACUUGGUAGACCGAGCAGGAUAUGCGUAGCCGUUACCCUCAUCUUUUCACUACUCCAAGUAUGUCACUAUGCUCGUUCGAGGACGAACGAAUGUUUUAAAAGGGGGAAGAUGUAACAAGCCGGCCGGUUAUUUUAAGAAUUAACACCCCGAUCCCUUAUUAACUGCUUCCCCCGUGUUUGUUUCUGCUAUUUUGAGUUGCCGGGAGUAUUUUUUGUGUUUUGGGACACUUAGUCCCUCAAUGAGAGCUUAAGCUUUAGAAAUUAGGUCGUAGCCGGGAUAUUUACUUUGGUACUACGGGUUGGUAUUCCGGGAGUUUCCCCUGCAUAUUUAUGAUUCGGACUACGGGAUGAUAUCCCGGGAGUUCUUCUGAACAUUUACGUUUGGGACUACGGGACGAUAUCCUGGGAGAUCCCCUGUUGUUAUUUCUAUGUACUGAGUUAGAUCCUUUCUGUGAUUUUAUUCGUUAUAGACUGUUAGCAUUUUAAUUAUGUGGUCAUAUUCUAUACUGUUUUACCUUGUUUUUCAUCUAUAAUCAGUAGGGCCCUGACCUUCCUCGUCACUACUCGACCGAGGUUAGGCUUGGCAUUUACUAAGUACCGUUGUGGUGUACUCAUGCCCUUUCCUGCACAUGUUUUUCGUGUGCAGAUCCAGGUUCUUCGGCUCAGUCCUAUUUCCAGUGAGGCGAGGCGAUCUUCAGAGACUUCGAGGUAUAUCUGUCGUGUUCGCAGGCCGAUGAGUCCCUCUCUAUUCUCUCUUCUAGCUUUAUCUCUCAUGUAUUUACUUUUGUUUAGACAUUCUCGAGUUAGAACACCUUGUAGUUAUUCCACAACUUGUGAUUUCAUGAGAUUCUGGAUUUUGGGAGUUGAUUCAGUUUGAGAGUUUAUAUUUGUAUAUGCCGAGCGACAUCUUAAAUGUUUUAUUUAUGUUUAUUCUGCAGUUUCUGGCUA
rnacentral:lncRNA from 1 species